rnacentral:lncRNA from 1 species
UAUCUUUACAACCACAUUUUAGUUAUAAUCUUAUCAUGUUUUUAUUCCAAGACUAAAAUUUUAAAAAAUAGGUCCAACUUUCUGCCUCAUGACAAUAGGUCCAGAAUACUAGUAAGUUGAGUUGGAUGUGCCAAAUAAGGUGAAUGGAGGUAUGGUUCAUAAGAGAUCUAACGACAAGAGACCCAACAAUAAACUCAAUGUUCGCUAUUUAUUAUUGGGGUAAAAUAGGUCAAAUUUUCUGUCUCAUUAUAAUAGACUAAAAAAACUAAUAAGCCAAGUUGGGUGAGCUUAAUAAGUUAAGUGAAAAUGUGAUUCACAAAAAACCUAACAGCAAGAGACUUAAUAAUAGACCUAAUGUCUAGGUGAGUUGAGUCAGGUAGAAGUCCGCAAGAGCUGCAGUUGAGCCCCUAAAUGCAAUGAGUGCAUCCUUCCUAUCAGCACGUACUUUUGGGAUACUUGGUUAAUGCUUACGAUCUCUUACAUGUGCGUUUCAUGGUUUCUACAAAUGUGACAUUUUUUUUGAGAAAAAAAUAUCA